AAUGAAGUGCCUGAUUAAAGGAUUAUUUUGAUAGAAUAAAUCAUGUAAAAAUUUUACCUUCAUUA
rnacentral:tRNA from 1 species